AGAGAAAGGGCAAGCGCUUGCUUCCUCUCCCUUCUAGCUGCCGGUUUCAUCGUUUCAUCUCCAGCAGCUGCUUCCCACCUCCUCCAGCCUAGAUACAGGCAACACAGGCAAGCCCACUGGUGGCGGGGUGGGGGUUCCAGUAGACCCCAAAGGAUGAACAUUUCCUGAAAACCAUUGCUCUAGCAACCUCGUCACAGCUCUGCAAGUAGCGAUUGCUUUUUGACGUUAAAAUGAGCUCUGUAAAAGAAUGGAACGGCUGUCACAAAUGUCAUAGCUGCUUAUACACAGUGGCGGUUAUACAUCAAUGUAGGAAAUGGAUUGCCGGUAACUGGGAUGGUUUUAAUGCUUCUUAGGCAUAAGCCUAUGUAAGCACAGAAGAGUUUCUUGAAAGCCCAGCUGCCUUCUACUGAUCAUUGGAUGGCAUUCUGCAAGUCAAGCUCACGGACAUCAGCUGUACAGACUCAGACCCUUGAAGGGCCAGUGGGUGGCAUUUACCUGACCUGAGAGUACCUGACCAUCGUCUUAGCAGUUCGUUAGGGAGCUCUUAAGAGACCAGCCCAUGAAACCACAUUCCACUUCUUAAUUUACAAGAAGAACCCUGACAAGCCUGCUGCCCUCCAGAGUCUACCCCACUCAACUCGUUUUCCUGGACAAAGGCCAAAAGUCAUGGGGCCAACCAACCUCCGACCAAAACUUCCAAAACCACAGGGAAAGCCAACUUUCUCUUUUUGCAAGUCAACUUAUCAUAUGUGUUUAUGGUGGCAGUGGAACUCUUUAAUUGGGAGACAAUCUCUAAUUGGGCUCCUAAUGCUGCCGAUGUUCUAAAAGCAUAAAAGAAGACAGACUCCUAAGUCUGUAUGGGGAAAACUUCUAAAUUCUGUACAUGUGUGUUCCUCUAGUGAACUGUAAUCCAAGACCAGAAUUGGUCUCUGGCAUCCAGCAGAUCUUGAUUCAGUCUACUCAUGGAUGGUAAAAAAUGCCCACCUUCUUCAGAAGUGCCCUGUAUCCCUCAACGCACCCAUAAGGGUAGCUCUUUGGAAGGUAAAAGAUGGCAACCUCCUUCCGGGGUGCCCUGCAUCUCCAAGUGCACCCCUAUGGAUAGCUCUUUCAUUUCAUGUCACAAUGUUCAAGACUGCCAGGUUCUGACCUAGCUCUUGGUCUAAUUGCAAAAUGAGAGGUUUGAACCAUGGUUCACCAUCACCUGACAAGACUCUUGCAAAGCCUGAGCCAUCAUUCAAAUCCCACCCGGACUGUGAAAAAGACCAGAGUUUCUGAAUGCCAGUCCAUGAAAGCUGAGUAAAGCAGAACCUAGUUCUCACAGAGCCCAAUGGGCUGCUUCCAUGAGUCUCAUGCAUUUUCCAGAAUAUUCCAUGACCUUUUCUUCAGUUUUUCCAUCUUCAUGGAGUUGUUCCACAGCACUUUGAAAAUGCUUAUGGAUCUAGCUGGUGUCAACCAAGAGGUCUAGGUUCCAGCUAGGCUCCUCUGUUUAGUCUUUGACUAGUCUUCAAUGGGUUUGGACAAGAAUGUGCUGAAGUUUGAGCCUCAGCUAUAGCAGACAGCGUGUGGAGCUCACCUCUAGCCUGAGUUGAUAAAUCAGCGUGUCUCUUCCCUAGCCAGAGCUUCACACGCUGGAGGCACCGCUUUAACCACCGGCUUCUACUCCAGCUUCAGCGUGCCUCUCGAGCUUCAGAGGAUGCCUACGGCCUUCUUGGUGCCACCCCUCCCCUCCUGCAUUUUCCGGGAUCUACCAUUGGUACUAUGCCCAUGUAAGCUAGGUAACAAAAACAAACCUCUAA
rnacentral:sRNA from 1 species